CUAUGGGGCUGAGGCCGCUAUGGGUCCCCCCCCAUAGAAGACGCUGCGCUGGUUCUGGAGCGGCUGCACCGGGCCCGGCCCCCCCCAAGGAUCGAUGUCAGCCCCCCCCGACGGCCGCAGGUGCUGGUGGAUGCCCAGGCCCAGAUGCUGGAGCUGGAACUGGCCCCGGAUCCCUUCUUUGGGGUUAUGGGGAUGGAGCUGCCGAGCCCCAUAGAGCUGCCGAAGAUGCUGGUGGAGGAGAUCCCCCCCCCACCGGCCCCCCCCCUGACCGUGUCCCCUGAGGUCAUCACCCUGAGGGAGCCUGAGCCCGAGGUCCCAGUGCUGCCUGGCGUUGAGGUGGGUCUGCCCCAUAGCGGCACUUAUGGGGCUGCCC